AACGAACGCUGGCGGCAGGCCUAACACAUGCAAGUCGAACGCUCCGCAAGGAGAGUGGCAGACGGGUGAGUAACACGUGGGAAUCUUCCUAUCGGUACGGAAUAGCUCAGGGAAACUUGAGGUAAUACCGCAUACGCCCUUCGGGGGAAAGAUUUAUCGCCGAUAGAUGAGCCCGCGUCUGAUUAGCUAGUUGGUGGGGUAAUGGCCUACCAAGGCGACGAUCAGUAGCUGGUCUGAGAGGAUGACCAGCCACACUGGGACUGAGACACGGCCCAGACUCCUACGGGAGGCAGCAGUGGGGAAUAUUGGACAAUGGGCGCAAGCCUGAUCCAGCCAUGCCGCGUGAGUGACGAAGGUCUUCGGAUUGUAAAGCUCUUUUGCCAGGGACGAUAAUGACGGUACCUGGAGAAUAAGCCCCGGCUAACUUCGUGCCAGCAGCCGCCGUAAAAC
rnacentral:rRNA from 1 species